UACGUAGGGGGCAAGCGUUGUCCGGAGUACUGGCGUAAGCGCACGCAGGCGGUCGGCUGCGUAGGUGGUGACAGUCCUCGGCUUACCUGAGGAAGCGCUGCCUAAACGGGUCGACUUGAGGGCCAGAGAGGGACACGGAACUCCGGGUGGAGCGGUGAAAUGCGUAGAGAUCCGGAAGAACACCAAAGGCGAAGGCAGUGUCCUGGCUGGCUCCUGACGCUCAGGUGCGAAAGCUAGGGGAGCAAACAGGG
rnacentral:rRNA from 1 species